rfam:Capsicum annuum cultivar Zunla-1 chromosome 11, whole genome shotgun sequence
UAUUGGUGAUGUAGGCAAUCUCUGAUAAUAGACUUGAAUCUCUCCCAUGUAUGAUAGAGAUUUUCAUUCGGCUCCUACUUGAAACUUAAAAUCUCACUCCUCAAACU